CCAAACAGAUUUUCAUGCAGAGAAUUCUGGUCUCAUUCUAUGUGAAAAUAAGUUCUCUCUGCCUCUCUGUGGAGCAGCCUUCCUCACCUGAAAAGAGCAACAGCAAUCUCUACCUAACUACUGUGGUUAUGAGACGACAAACAGGUCCCAACAAUCAGCAGGGUCUCCGGAGAGAACAUGCAGGCUCGUGGGGGUGCUGAAGACAUUCUGAUUCCUCUUAUUUUCCAAACACAAAGGUGAAUAUUUCCUUUAUUCUAAAAAUAUUUUUCAUGAAAUUGAAAAUCCAUUUUGAAUCAAUCAACAACUUUUUUGGAGCAUUUGCCAGAGCGGGCUUAUGGGCUAGACAUUAAUGAGGAUUCUAAGAACUGUCAGACAUGAUCCCUGGAUUCAAAAUUUGUAAUAAAAUGGAGAGAAAAAGCCCAUUCAAAAGGAUGGUCCAGGGACAAUAUGAGAGAGGAAGCAUGAAAGAGUCAAGCGUUGGCUACAGCUACAAGGAGCUGCGGGAGCUCAGAGAAAGGCUCUGGGCUGGUGGUUUUAAAUCUGGAAUGAUGGUAACUGAU